rnacentral:rRNA from 1 species
UACGUAGGGUGCGAGCGUUAAUCGGAAUUACUGGGCGUAAAGCGUGCGCAGGCGGUGAUGUAAGACCGAUGUGAAAUCCCCGGGCUUAACCUGGGAACUGCAUUGGUGACUGCAUUGCUGGAGUAUGGCAGAGGGGGGUGGAAUUCCACGUGUAGCAGUGAAAUGCGUAGAGAUGUGGAGGAACACCGAUGGCGAAGGCAGCCCCCUGGGCCAAUACUGACGCUCAUGCACGAAAGCGUGGGGAGCGAACCGG